rnacentral:rRNA from 1 species
ACAAGUAGUUAGAGCCCGUUAAUGGGUGAUAGCGUGCCUUUUGUAGAAUGAACCGGCGAGUUACGAUUUGUUGCAAGGUUAAGCGGAAAAAGCGGAGCCGUAGCGAAAGCGAGUCUGAAUAGGGCGCAUAAGUAACAGGUCGUAGACCCGAAACCAGGUGAUCUACCCAUGUCCAGGAUGAAGGUAAGGUAAUACUUACUGGAGGUCCGAACCCACGCACGUUGAAAAGUGCGGGGAUGAGGUGUGGGUAGCGGAGAAAUUCCAAUCGAACUUGGAGAUAGCUGGUUCUCUCCGAAAUAGCUUUAGGGCUAGCCUCGAGGUAAAGAGUCAUGGAGGUAGAGCACUGUUUGGACUAGGGGCCCUUCUCGGGUUACCGAAUUCAGAUAAACUCCGAAUGCCAUGUACUUAUACUCGGGAGUCAGACUGCGAGUGAUAAGAUCCGUAGUCGAAAGGGAAACAGCCCAGACCACCAGUUAAGGUCCCCAAAUAUAUGUUAAGUGGAAAAGGAUGUGGGGUUGCUUAGACAACCAGGAUGUUGGCUUAGAAGCAGCCACCAUUGAAAGAGUGCGUAAUAGCUCACUGGUCGAGUGACCCCGCGCCGAAAAUGUACCGGGGCUAAACAUAUUACCGAAACUGUGGAUGAACCUCUUCGGAGGUUCGUGGUAGGAGAGCGUUCUAAGGGCGGUGAAGUCAGACCGGAAGGACUGGUGGAGCGCUUAGAAGUGAGAAUGCCGGUAUGAGUAGCGAAAGAAGGGUGAGAAUCCCUUCCACCGAAUAUCUAAGGUUUCCUGAGGAAGGCUCGUCCGCUCAGGGUUAGUCGGGACCUAAGCCGAGGCCGAUAGGCGUAGGCGAUGGACAACAGGUAGAGAUUCCUGUACCAGUGCUAAUUGUUUAACCGAUGGGGUGACACAGAAGGAUAGGGAAUCGCACGAAUGGAAAUGUGCGUCCAAGCAGUGAGUGUGA